UACGAAGGGGGCUAGCGUUGCUCGGAAUUACUGGGCGUAAAGCGUGCGUAGACGGUCAUGUAAGUCGGAUGUGAAAGCCCCGGGCUCAACCUGGGAAUUGCAUUCGAGACUGCAUGGCUUGGGUGCGGAAGAGGGAAGCGGAAUUUCCGGUGUAGCGGUGAAAUGCGUAGAUAUCGGAAGGAACACCAGUGGCGAAAGCGGCUUCCUGGUCCGACACCGACGUUCAGGCACGAAAGCGUGGGGAGCAAACAGG
rnacentral:rRNA from 1 species